UUUGCUGAGGUGCACACAGCAAU
rnacentral:misc_RNA from 1 species